rnacentral:piRNA from 1 species
UGGAAUCACAGGCACAAGUAGGAAGUUCUA